UACAGAGGUCUCAAGCGUUGUUCGGAUUUAUUGGGCGUAAAGGGUGCGUAGGCGGCCAAAAAAGUUAGAUGUGAAAUGCGCUGGCUCAACCGGCGCACUGCAUUUAAUACUGUUUGGCUUGAGCGCUAGAGAAGAGGCUGGAAUUUACGGUGUAGCAGUGAAAUGCGUAGAUAUCGUAAGGAACGCCAGUGGCGAAAGCGAGCCUCCUGAUAGCAUGCUGACGCUGAGGCACGAAAGCCAGGGGAGCAAACGGG
rnacentral:rRNA from 1 species